rnacentral:rRNA from 1 species
AUUGAACGCUGGCGGCAGGCUUAACUCAUGCAAGUCGAGCGGGGGAAGGUAGCUUGCUACCGGACCUAGCGGCGGACGGGUGAGUAAUGCUUAGGAAUCUGCCUAUUAGUGGGGGACAACAUCUCGAAAGGGAUGCUAAUACCGCAUACGUCCUACGGGAGAAAGCAGGGGAUCUUCGGACCUUGCGCUAAUAGAUGAGCCUAAGUCGGAUGAGCUAGUUGGUGGGGUAAAGGCCUACCAAGGCGACGAGCUGUAGCGGGUCUGAGAGGAUGAUCCGCCACACUGGGACUGAGACACGGCCCAGACUCCUACGGGAGGCAGCAGUGGGGAAUAUUGGACAAUGGGGGGAACCCUGAUCCAGCCAUGCCGCGUGUGUGAAGAAGGCCUUAUGGUUGUAAAGCACUUUAAGCGAGGAGGAGGCUACUUUAGUUAAUACCUAGAGAUAGUGGACGUUACUCGCAGAAUAAGCACCGGCUAACUCUGUGCCAGCCGCCGCAGUAA